rnacentral:rRNA from 1 species
UUCCGGUUGAUCCCGCCGGAGGUUACUGCUAUCGAGGUUCGACUAAGCCAUGCGAGUCGAAUGUAGCAAUACAUGGCGAACUGCUCAGUAACACGUGGACAACCUGCCCUUAGGUUGGGUAUAAACCCGGGAAACUGGGGCUAAUGCUCCAUAGUGGAUAUGUCCUGGAAUGGUAUAUCCUCGAAAGAUCCGUCGCCUUAGGAUGGGACUGCGUCCGAUUAGGUUGUUGGCGGGGUAACGGCCCACCAAGCCAUUGGUCGGUACGGGUUGUGGGAGCAAGAUCCCGGAGAUGGAUUCUGAGACAUGAAUCCAGGCCCUACGGGGCGCAGCAGGCGCGCAAACUUUACAAUGCGAGCAAUCGUGAUAAGGAAACCCUGAGUGCCUGUCGAUGCAGGCUGUUCAUAUAUCUAAAUCAUAUGUGAAGAAAGGGCAGGGCAAGACCGGUGCCAGCCGCCGCGGUAAUACCGGCUGCUCGAGUGAUGGCCACUAUUACUGGGUUUAAAGCGUCCGUAGCUUGACUGUUAGGUCUCUUGGGAAAUCUUCGCGCUCAACGUGAAGGCGUCUAAGAGAUACCGGCAGUCUUGGAACUGGGAGAGGUAAACCGUACUUCGGGGGUAGGAGUGAAAUCUUGUAAUCCUCGAGGGACGACCUAUGGCGAAGGCAGUUUACCAGAACAGCUUCGACAGUGAGGGACGAAAGCUGGGGGAGCAAACGGGAUUAGAUACCCCGGUAGUCCCAGCCGUAAACAAUGUGCGUUAGGUGUGUCGGUAACCACGUGUUACUGAUGCGCCGAAGAGAAAUCGUGAAACGCACCACCUGGGAAGUACGGUCGCAAGGCUGAAACUUAAAGGAAUUGGCGGGGGAGCACCACAACAGGUGGAGCCUGCGGUUUAAUUGGAUUCAACGCCGGG